UGAAUAUUUUUGUUCCUAACUUGCUUAUAAUUAUCAUAAACAUGAAGCAAGAGAAUGAAGAGGCCAUUAACAUGUUAGUACAAACUGGUGGUUUUUUUGAAAAGAAAGUGUUGCGCUCACCCAAGCAACCUCUGCAGAUUACUAAAGUGGAUCAAAUAUUGCAGAAUAAAGAGAAUACAUAAUUUAAUGUAAAAGUUAAAGCAAGAUUGGAAAAUGAAUACCAAGACUACUUUUACAUUGGUUGUCCAAUAUGUUCCACAAAGACAGCUGCCUCAUAUGGUACGGAGUUCAUGUGUUACUCAACACCAUGCAAGAAUAUGAGAAUAGAAAAUCGGAGAUUUAGUCUCAUGGUCUUUGAUGCGUCUGGACAAGUGGAAGUCACUUUUCUGGGGAAAGAAGCUCAAAAACUUCUUGGUCUAGAUCCUUCUGAGUUUUAUAAAAAACAAAAUCGGAUGCUAUUGAGAUUUUACAAGAUGAUGCUGCAAUACCAUCUGAGAAAAUUAGCUUUGAACCUGACGAAGUUCAUCUAGAGCAAGGGGUGCUAAAAAGUGCGACGAGGCAAUUGGUUUUUCAUGAUUCAUUAGAUAAUGAUAAAGACAUUCGAGCAAAGAUUGCUGCCAAAGCUAAAGGCAAGGGGAAAAAUGUCCCAAGAAAGCCAUGUUGAACACAUCAAAG